GAUGAACGCUGGCGGCGUGCCUAACACAUGCAAGUCGGGCGAGAAAUUUUAAAGCGAAACUUCGGUCUAGCGAUAAAAUGGAAAGCGGCGGACGGGUGAGUAACGCGUAGGCAACCUGCCCUUUACAGAGGGAUAGCCUCGGGAAACCGGGAUUAAGACCUCAUAACAUCAUAUUAAGGCAUCUUGAUAUGGUCAAAGGAGAAAUCUGGUAAGAGAUAGACCUGCGUCUGAUUAGCUAGUUGGUAAGGUAAAGGCUUACCAAGGCGACGAUCAGUAGCCGAACUGAGAGGUUGAUCGGCCACAUUGGGACUGAGACACGGCCCAAACUCCUACGGGAGGCAGCAGUGGGGAAUAUUGCUCAAUGGAGGAAACUCUGAAGCAGCAACGCCGCGUGAAGGAUGAAGGUUUUCGGAUUGUAAACUUCUUUGAAUGGGGGCGAAGAAAGUGACGGUACCCAUAAAACAAGCCACGGCUAACUACGUGCCAGCAGCCGCGGUAA
rnacentral:rRNA from 1 species